GCCGAUGUAGCUCAGUUGGUAGAGCAAUCCAUUCGUAAUGGAUAGGUCACGAGUUCGAAUCUCGUCAUUGGCUCCA
rnacentral:tRNA from 1 species